rnacentral:rRNA from 1 species
GCAGCAGCCGCGGGAAUACGAAGGGGGCUAGCGUUGUUCGGAUUUACUGGGCGUAAAGCGCACGUAGGCGGACUUUUAAGUCAGGGGUGAAAUCCCGGGGCUCAACCCCGGAACUGCCUUUGAUACUGGAAGUCUUGAGUAUGGUAGAGGUGAGUGGAAUUCCGAGUGUAGAGGUGAAAUUCGUAGAUAUUCGGAGGAACACCAGUGGCGAAGGCGGCUCACUGGACCAUUACUGACGCUGAGGUGCGAAAGCGUGGGGAGCAAACAGGAUUAGAUACCCCAGUAGUCCCUGUCUCUUAUAC